AUACUUACCGGGCCAAGGAGAUGCCAUGAACACGAAGGUGUUUUCCCAGGGCGGAGCCUAUUCGUCACACUCCGGAUGUGCUGACCCCUGCGAUUUCCCCGGAUUCGGAAAACUCGAUGGCGCAAUUAGUAGUAGCGGGAGACUGUGUUCGCACUCUCAGG
ensembl:snRNA U1 U1 spliceosomal RNA